UGGGUAACCUGCCUCUUGCUCUGGGAUAACGUCCGGGAAACCGGGGCUAAUACCGGAUAUUCAUUUCUGACCGCAUGGUUGGUUGUGGAAAGUUUUUCGGCGAGAGAUGGGCCCGCGGCCUAUCAGCUUGUUGGUGGGGUGAUGGCCUACCGAAGGCGACGACGGGUAGCCGGCCUGAGAGGGCGACCGGCCACACGUGGGACUGAGACACGGCCCAGACCUCCUACGGGAGCA
rnacentral:rRNA from 1 species